AGGAUGAACGCUGGCGGUCUGCUUAACACAUGCAAGUCGAACGGAGUAGCAAUACUUAGUGGCGGACGGGUGAGUAACGCGUGAGAAUCUACCUUCAGGACGGAGACAACAGUUGGAAACGACUGCUAACCCCCGAUGUACCGAAAGGGCAAAUAUUUAUAGCCUGAAGAAGAGCUCGCGUCCGAUUAGCUAGUUGGAGAGGUAAAAGCUCACCAAGGCGACGAUCGGUAGCUGGUCUGAGAGGACGAUCAGCCACACUGGGACUGAGACACGGCCCAGACUCCUACGGGAGGCAGCAGUGGGGAAUUUUCCGCAAUGGGCGAAAGCCUGACGGAGCAAGACCGCGUGGGGGAAGAAGGCUCUUGGGUUGUAAACCCCCUUUUCUCUGGGAAGAACGCAAUGACGGUACCAGAGGAAUCAGCAUCGGCUAACUCCGUGCCAGCAGCCGC
rnacentral:rRNA from 1 species